GCAUCGCAGCCUCCAUGAGGAAAACAUGAACAAUCUCUCAAUCUCUCAGGAAGGCUUGUUUAUCAGAAACCUUCAUCUCCGUCUAUUACUCUCGAUCUUUCAGUAUCUCCGUCUCUCGCUCUCAAUCUCUCUUCCUAUUUAUCGGAGAAGAUUCAUUAAAAUCAACAAGAAAAAGAACUUUUCUCUUUGUCCUGGUAUCUCUACCUCGAUUCAAAGUGACGAAGAAAACCUAAAAUCCAAAACACAAAUUUAUCUUCAAACAUCAAGAUGAAUAACUGACGAUGAUCAAGAUAUGGGUGGUUGAGGAUGAGAAGGAUGAGUUAUAUACUGAACUCUGGCAUGCUUGUGUUGAUUCUCUUGUUAACAUUCCUCAUGUUGGUGACAAGUUUUUCUAACUUCCUCAAGGUCACUUGGAACAGGUUGAAGCAUAUACCAAUCAAGAAUUUGAUAUACAAUUGCCAAAGAAAAAUUUUCCUUCACAAAUUCUUUGUCGGGUUGUAUACGUGCAUUUAAAGGCUGAAUUAGAAACUGAUGAGGUGUUUGCGCAAGUGACUUUGCUUCCUGAGAUGAUGGAAGAGGUGUCUGGUAUUGAGAAGGAAACUUCUAGAUUUUCUACUGGGAGCCAUUCACGUUCUUUUUGCAAGAUACUGGUGGUUUUUCUGUUCUAAAGCGGCAUGCUGAUGAAUGCCUUCCUGUGCUGGUUUGUUUUCUAAUCGAAAUUUAUAAAAUCUUGUAUAUGCUACACUAAACCCGUUCCCUUCAGGAAAAUUUAAUAUCACAUAAUUUUUUGUGUAUCUGUUUGAAGCUAAUUGGUUGAUUUCUUAAAGGUUAGGUAAACUAUUUGUUUUGUCAUGAGACAUAUCUCAACAGUUGUCGUCGCAAGAACUGAAGGCUAGGGAUAUUCAUGGGUUAGGGUGACACUUUCUCCAUAUGUAUCGUGGGUUCAGAAUGGCUACUGAAUGUGCACUGAAGAUCUCUCCUUACAAUACAAUUGUAAUUCAGAAGCUGAAAUGGAUAGAUAGCAACAUCAGAAGAACUAGUGCGCAAGUGUUGGUUUGCUUUCAGGUUCUGGUAGGAGAAGAAGUUCUUGGCACUGCUUUUGCAGAACUCUAGCCAUCUCUUGUGGCAUCUAAUCAUGUUUGAUGAACUACUGAAGAAGAGGGCAUCGGACGAAGCAGUUAUCAGGAUUAUUGAGGACAAGCGAAUAUUGAAUUAGAUAAAGAAAUAAGUGGAUUCAGGUAAUCUUGUUGGUACUGGUGGAACUCUUAGAAUUUAAGAUGAGAAAAGAGUCAUCUGCCUAUACUUAGCAGUUAUGAAUCACCUGACAGUUGAACCUAAGUAUCAUUGAACAAAUUGAUAAACAUAUAUAUAAUGAUUUGAACAAUGUUUGCUUC